rnacentral:rRNA from 1 species
UGGGGAAUAUUGGACAAUGGGGGCAACCCUGAUCCAGCCAUGCCGCGUGUGUGAAGAAGGCCUUAGGGUUGUAAAGCACUUUAAGUUGUGAGGAAGUUGACACUGUGAACAAUGGUGUUGAUUGACGUUAGCAACAGAAUAAGCACCGGCUAACUCCGUGCCAGCAGCCGCGGUAAUACGGAGGGUGCGAGCGUUAAUCGGAAUUACUGGGCGUAAAGAGCACGUAGGCGGUGCGUUAAGUUGUGUGUGAAAUCCCUGGGCUUAACCUGGGAACUGCAUGCAAAACUGGCGGACUAGAGUAAGUCAGAGGAGAGCGGAAUUUCCGGUGUAGCGGUGAAAUGCACAGAUAUCGGAAGGAACAUCAGUGGCGAAGGCGGCUCUCUGGGAUAUUACUGACGCU